UACGAAGGGGGCUAGCGUUGCUCGGAAUCACUGGGCGUAAAGGGUGCGUAGGCGGGUCUUUAAGGCAGGGGUGAAAUCCUGGAGCUCAACUCCAGAACUGCCUUUGAUACUGAGGAUCUUGAGUAUGGGAGAGGUGAGUGGAACUGCGAGUGUAGAGGUGAAAUUCGUAGAUAUUCGCAAGAACACCAGUGGCGAAGGCGGCUCACUGGCCCAUUACUGACGCUGAGGCACGAAAGCGUGGGGAGCAAACAGG
rnacentral:rRNA from 1 species